UGGUGUAGCUCAAUGGCAGAGCAAUUGAUUUGUAAUCAAUAGGUUGUAGGUUCGACUCCUAUCACC
rnacentral:tRNA from 3 species